rnacentral:rRNA from 1 species
AAAAGUGAAAGACGGUCUUGCUGUCACUUAUAGAUGGAUCCGCGCUGCAUUAGCUAGUUGGUAAGGUAACGGCUUACCAAGGCAACGAUGCAUAGCCGACCUGAGAGGGUGAUCGGCCACACUGGAACUGAGACACGGUCCAGACUCCUACGGGAGGCAGCAGUAGGGAAUCUUCCGCAAUGGGCGAAAGCCUGACGGAGCAACGCCGCGUGAGUGAUGAAGGUCUUCGGAUCGUAAAACUCUGUUAUUAGGGAAGAACAUAUGUGUAAGUAACUGUGCACAUCUUGACGGUACCUAAUCAGAAAGCCACGGCUAACUACGUGCCAGCAGCCGCGGUAAUACGUAGGUGGCAAGCGUUAUCCGGAAUUAUUGGGCGUAAAGCGCGCGUAGGCGGUUUUUUAAGUCUGAUGUGAAAGCCCACGGCUCAACCGUGGAGGGUCAUUGGAAACUGGAAAACUUGAGUGCAGAAGAGGAAAGUGGAAUUCCAUGUGUAGCGGUGAAAUGCGCAGAGAUAUGGAGGAACACCAGUGGCGAAGGCGACUUUCUGGUCUGUAACUGACGCUGAUGUGCGAAAGCGUGGGGAUCAAACAGGAUUAGAUACCCUGGUAGUCCACGCCGUAAACGAUGAGUG